AUUGAACGCUGGCGGCAGGCUUAACACAUGCAAGUCGAGCGAGCGGCGGACGGGUGAGUAAUGUCUGGGAAACUGCCUGAUGGAGGGGGAUAACUACUGGAAACGGUAGCUAAUACCGCAUACCAUCAGAUGUGCCCAGAUGGGAUUAGCUAGUAGGUGGGGUAAUGGCUCACCUAGGCGACGAUCCCUAGCUGGUCUGAGAGGAUGACCAGCGACACUGGAACUGAGACACGGUCCAGAAGCCUACGGGAGGCAGAAGUGGGGAAUAUUGCACAAUGGGCGCAAGCCUGAUGCAGCCAUGCGGCGUGUGUGAAGAAGGCCUUCGGGUUGUAAAGCACGUUAAGCGAGGAGGCGUUAAGAGAAGAAGAAGCACCGGCUAACUCCGUGCCAGCAGCCGCGGUAAUUG
rnacentral:rRNA from 1 species